rnacentral:ncRNA from 1 species
AACUACUAGGGGUGCCUUUUGGCUGAGAUUUUACCCUUAGAACCUGAUCUAGUUAAUGCUAGCGUAGGGAAGUAGUUAUCUA